UACGUAUGGUGCGAGCGUUGUCCGGAAUUAUUGGGCGUAAAGAGCUUGUAGGCGGUUUGUCGCGUCUGCUGUGAAAAUCCGGGGCUCAACCCCGGACUUGCAGUGGGUACGGGCAGACUAGAGUGUGGUAGGGGAGACUGGAAUUCCUGGUGUAGCGGUGGAAUGCGCAGAUAUCAGGAGGAACACCGAUGGCGAAGGCAGGUCUCUGGGCCACUACUGACGCUGAGAAGCGAAAGCAUGGGGAGCGAACAGG
rnacentral:rRNA from 1 species